UCAGAAUGGCAAUAGAGCGGGCUUGGAAAAAUAGUGUAUGUACAAAGAAUAAAGUAGCACAGAUUGUUUGUCCUGGAAAAAAUAAAUUACAACUUUGUAUUAUUUGCGAGUCUAGCUAGCUUCUAAUAUUAACAAAACCUUCAAAAACAUAAAUGUAACAACUGUCGUGUAAAAAGGUACAACUGAAUUUAUACGCGAGGUCAGUCAAAUAAAUGACUGAUAAUUGAAAGAUAAAAGUUAAAUAAUGAAC
rnacentral:lncRNA from 1 species